GGCUGACUGCAGCCAUCUUGCCAAGGCCAUUGCUGUAAAAUUUGCUAGUCUGCUAUUGGGGGGUCCUUCUUCAGGUGACUCUGGAAAGCAGCCUGGCUUUUUAAAUGGCUUGAUAUUGUGAGAAAUAUGGGGUAGGAGUGGGAUUAACAGGCAGAAGAAGUAUCCAGGAGCAACUCCUUCAGUCUUAAGUGGGCAGCCCCAUUGUUGCACACCUGCAGGCCAUAAGCUCAUUAGGCUGGAAACCCAGCUUCUGGUGAGGGAAAAUGGAAGCCUCUCACAGAUGUUUCCGGAACUUCUCUGAGGCAGCAGUUCUGUCAGGGUGACCUCAGGAAAUAAUCUUUCAUGCUCCUGGAAGAAACCCUUUGAGUGUGUCCUGAGGAACAAGCCUCAUGAUAGCUUGCAUGGAUAUACGUGGAACCUGUUUAAUGAUGAUGAAGACUGCUAAGAAGACUGCUUGUACUCUGUUGUACACCUCCUUGAGGUUCAUAAGGAUAUCUGUAUCAUGGUUCAGAAACCAGCAUAUAUGAUAUCAGCUUCUGUGCAACAAUAUUCACCAUAGAGAGAGCGAGAGCAUUGCACAUCAUCUCCGUAAGACUCGGCACAACUCUGUAAGACCGCAUGUUUUGGCCUAAUGAAUUCCGAGCAAAUCUGAUAACUUUAUUUCUCGAGUGAGUGCAACAGCCUAUAAUGAAGCACUCUGCUGCCUCUUCUCCCAAGCCUUUGUCUUGUGGAUCUGCUCUUCUUCUUCACAUGAAACAAGGCCCUGAGCUCUUGAUUAGUCAAUUUGGCUUCAAGGGCUUGUCUUCUUUCCAGGUUAAGAAGGAAAUUAUUCUACGGCUGCACUUUUGAUGCCCUGCUCUGCAGAAAUAACGAUUUCUGUCCUGCCUCGUAAUCACCUCCAUCAUCAAGGGAAGCUCUAUUAACACUGUGAAAAGAGAAGCGAGAGCCUGCUUUUGACUCUUUAAAAAUAUUAUCAUCAUCAGGCUUAAAUGUGUUAAUAAAUGUCAGCUCAGUGGUUCAAGCACUCUUAAAAAAAAAAAAAAAGCCUGUUAGACCUCCAACCAGAGACCUUAAAGGAGAGGCAGAGGGAAAAGAAAGAAGAGACACAGAGGUUUACAAGAGAAAGAAGAAAGCAAUCCCAGGCAGCAUGAAACAAAAGGGAAGAUAGAGGCUCUUUGGUUCGCUCCCACCAAAUUUGCUUCUACCCAGUUCAAGAGCACCAUCUCUGUACAGGUCAGCAAUUCAUUAAAAUGCAAUCAAGGGGUGUCGUUUCUGGGAGUCUGGAUGUACCCCUUGGGGAAGAAAGGACGGCUCUCAGCUAGGAAGGGCCCUCAUUAAGGGGGACCAUCAAAAGGCCAUUGAUGUCCACAGGAGCAUUUCCAUAGACUUCAAUGGGACGGAGAAACGGUCCAGAUCACACACGGCUUGCCAAAGCGGCCUGCGUUUGAAAGGCCCGUUCUGUGAAGUGCAACUGCUUCAUUUGGAGACCAGAGGACUCAGACUGACUGAUGAAAUCCCUUUCAGUCCCUUCCAGGCCUGAUUCUGCCGACUGGCUUGCAUCAGAAGUUUCCUCUGGGGAUGGAAGUUGGAUUUCAGACUUGCAGCAUCAAGACUGAAGACACCGAGAAAGCACCGCAGAGGUCAAGGGGUCCUCUUGUCUGCCCCCGCCACGCAGUUUGGGUAGGACUUUUUUAUUUGUUUGCUUUUUUAAUUCGUUGUUAGAUUUAUAUGCUGCCUUUCAUAAAAUAUCUCAAGGCGGUUUCCAAUAGAGAUAUUAAAGCAAUAUGA